rnacentral:rRNA from 1 species
CCUACGGGAGGCAGCAGUAAGGAAUAUUGGGCAAUGGGCGAAAGCCUGACCCAGCCAUGCCGCGUGCAGGAUGACAGCCCUCGAGGUUGUAAACUGCUUUUCUAUGGGACGAAAUUCCGCUAUUCUUAGCGGAACUGACGGUACUGUAGGAAUAAGCAUCGGCUAACUCCGUG